rnacentral:pre_miRNA from 1 species
AGUGCAGUUGCUGGAUCAUAGGGCAAGAAUAUAUUCAAUUUUUUAAGAAACUGUCAAAUUAUCUUUCAAAGUAGCUGUGACAUUUUGUAUUCUUGCCAGCAAU